rnacentral:misc_RNA from 1 species
UGUACAUUCUAUUAUAUCAAUAUCAUCGUCCUCAAUGCCAUGGGGUUCCUCCUUUACUUGUUCAGCCAAGGAGGUAUGGUUUUCAUAGUUGCUAGCACAAUUUACAUGACUAGCUUCAAGUUCUUUAGAAUCACUUCCAUUCUGCUUCUUUGCCGAAGCCUCUACAAUCAUGUCUAUAUUUUGCUCGUUCUCUAAUUCACGUCGCAUUUUGCAAUAUCUUACAAUUCAAACCAUUCUCAGCACAUCGAGAGAAAAUAUGUGCAAACAACAGAAAUACAAGAAUUUCCAAUUCUCAAGAAACAGUCCGAUUCAAAAGUUCUCAACAGACUAAUUCUCCGCCGAGUGGCCUGGGGUGGGGGGUGGGGUGGGGUGGGGGUG